ensembl:lncRNA
UGUGAAGCUGGAGAGAGACUUUUUCUUCCCUUGUUCUUUUAUUCUACUACAUUGUUUCACCAUGAUCCUUUAAAGGGUUUUUAUCUGUUGUAUAUUCAUGCUUCUGAAUAGUGCUGCUUGCUGAGAAAGCACUGCAAGAUGUGCCUCUUCAGGGUAUUUAAUUUUGAUCUCAUGUAUGGCAAUCGACAAAGGUAUUACUAACAGGAGUUACUGCAUCGUGGUUCACAUCAUCUGUGCUUCCAGAGAGUCUGGGAUGAAUCCCACAGAGAAUUUAGGAGCUGCUUUCCAAAGAGUUAUGGCUGGAACAGAGAAGCAAGGAGCUGCCAGCAUGGCUGGCACUUCCCAUUCCAGGAGAGAGAGGACAAGAGACAUCCCUCGUCUCCACCAAGGAUGCCCUUCGGAGUCCAAGGGCAAAGGGCUGGUGCUGAUCUUUGCCCUAAGAAGGGAAAGCACAGUUCAGAUGCCCUGCUAGGCAGGAGUGGUAGGUGCUGCAGUCUGUUCCCAGCCCUUUGUGGCAUCUGUGGGGAAAGCAAGGACAUUCUAUCUUUCUCCUUCAGUCACCUACAACAAUAGCUGUCAUGAUCAGCUAGGUAACUUUUUUAUGCCUUUUGUUUUCUGCACAAAAGCCUUUCCACAUGAAAAUGAGCAGGAUUACUCAUUAUAAGCACUCAGUUGCUUUAGCUUUCAUCUCCCUUUUGCCCUGUCUGAGUUGAUCCUCCAUAAAAGUUAGUUUUAUUUCUUGAGCUUCCACUCAAGCCAUGAGGUGAGGGUGCAUCUGGACAACACAGUGCAGUGCAGAGACCUUCCAGUCUUGCAGCAAACAGAUCAUGUCCAUGGCUGGAAGCAGGACAGGACUACCAGGGCUAACUUCUCCUCUCUCCCAAAAAUAUCUCUGAGACUGGCAACAGGAAGCAGCACAGUCCUAGCAGAUGUGCAGUAACAAGGGGCAAUUUAAACCAUCUUCUUGGCUGUGCUGUUCAGGACCCUCAGUAUAUUGUGGGUCCUGCACGGGAAUGCAAAGUGCAGGGAUGCACCUAGUCAACUUGGCUGUCUCUUCCUGGAAUACAUGGAAUACAAAGGAUCCAUGGAAAAGCAGUCUGAAGCAGCUUUCACAACAUAGCAUCUCCCACCAUGUCCCCAGACUGCAAAUUACUAAUUUUGCUGAGCCACGAGGCACAGAGAAAAGAAGGAAGAUCAAGGUAUCUUUCACAGGGAACUUGAAGCAAACAGGGACUAAAAAAUAAAUUAAUAACUGAGUUUACUCUUAUUUAAGCAACACUGGCAGAAGUUCUUUUAGUGACCUCUACAAAGCUUUGCUGAGGCAUCCUUUUAUAUUCUUCUAGUAGAUUAAAGCUAACUUUCAUAGCUCUACAUUUCCUGUUUCAUAGAUGCAUAGGAUAUCAUCCUUGAUAUGCAUAAAAGAGAGCUGAUUAGAGAGCCACCUUGAAGACAUGACUUUACCAAGUCAUCCAAUUUUGGAGACACAAAAUGAUUGCUGGGUUUUGGGCAUUUCUCCUGAAAGGGUGAAUGAACUGAUUAAGCUGGAACUGUCAUUGCCUUUUUCUUGCCCACAGAACCAGGCACUGCCUCUAGUGAGAUGACAGAGAAGAAAUGCUGCGGGCAGCUAUUUCAACAGCUCUUUACCAAACAGAUUAUGCACGAUUUGUCUGGCAUUGAAUCACUGGCUUGUGUAAACACCAGAUGCAAGUGAAAUGCAAUGUCUUAACUAAAAUGCUGUGUUUUGGCCCGUGGAAGCAAUAGAUUAUUAAAGUUAAUGCUACUGUUACCUACAUUUAUU